rnacentral:rRNA from 1 species
GUGCACGCUGGCGGUAGGCCUCACACCUGCCAGUCGAACGGCAGCACAGUAAGAGCUUGCUCUUACGGGUGGCGAGUGGCGGACGGGUGAGGAAUACAUCGGAAUCUACUUUUUCGUGGGGGAUAACGUAGGGAAACUUACGCUAAUACCGCAUACGACCUACGGGUGAAAGCAGGGGAUCUUCGGACCUUGCGCGAUUGAAUGAGCCGAUGUCGGAUUAGCUAGUUGGCGGGGUAAAGGCCCACCAAGGCGACGAUCCGUAGCUGGUCUGAGAGGAUGAUCAGCCACACUGGAACUGAGACACGGUCCAGACUCCUACGGGAGGCAGCAGUGGGGAAUAUUGGACAAUGGGCGCAAGCCUGAUCCAGCCAUACCGCGUGGGUGAAGAAGGCCUUCGGGUUGUAAAGCCCUUUUGUUGGGAAAGAAAAGCAGCAGGUUAAUACCCCGCUGUUCUGACGGUACCCAAAGAAUAAGCACCGGCUAACUUCGU